CUCUGCUGGAAAGGUGCCUUUUGUCUGAGGAGCCAAAGUGCUUUCUCUUAGGAGGCGAUGCUCCUGACAGCUUGAUUGCUUGGAAUCUGAGGUGAAAAUGCCCAACCAAAGAGAUCAGUUGAGAGAGGAAAAAGCAGCACGUUAAAAUAAGAAAAACAGGAUUUUUGUGAAGGACACAAUUGUGUGUUUGCGCGUUGCUGAAACCCAAAGGUAAUUGUUUUAGGGUUGUUUUUGGAGGAAAACAGGAGAGACACAGCCUGGCUGCUCCUGUUCCCAGUCACGAGGGAGAGAUCCCAUCAGUCUGGUCCCUCUGCAAGGGCUCUGUCACUUCCCAGGCUCUUGAUUCCCUGACUGAUCAGCCAGAAGCUGCUGGGAGUCAGAUUCUCCCCUCCAAAACUCUGUUUUCUUCUCACUGGAAGAAACUUCCAGCUCUCAGGUCUUCUCAUACCUGUGGAGAGGACACCAUGCCUGAAAUGAUUGUGAAGAACACCUCAAACAAACAAAAAACCAAGGUAAUCUGUCUUCAUCAGAUCUUGUCCAGAAUGCAUUGAACUCCUAAAUCCAGACAAAAUACCUCUGUGGGAGGAGAAAAAAGAAAAGGAAUGAGCAGAGAAAUGCCUGUUCUUUAAAAAUCAGCUUUAAGCUG
ensembl:lncRNA